rnacentral:lncRNA from 1 species
UUUUAAAUUUUGAAGUCAAUCAUUAUUUUAAAUUUAAAUUUUGAAGUAAACCAUUAUUGUGUUUGAUUUUAAAUUUUGUAUGCUUUGAAAUCUUGAUGUUUUUUUAUGAGAUGCUUUGACUAUAUUAUUUGUAAUUUUAGGGAUGCUUCGAGUCUUUGACUAUUGUUUUUGUACUCGAGUUGCAUAUCUCACAAACUUUUUGUGUUUUGUAAUUUUAGGUGAAGAGCUUCUUUCAGACUCCUUCCCCUACAAGGAACUAUUGAAUGGGUUCCUAUGAGAAGUUGAAGAAAAGUUAUGGAUAAUGAAAACAAUGCUCCUUCGU